rnacentral:rRNA from 1 species
AAGCGCGGGGCACUGGCGGCGAGUGGUUGAACGGGUGAGUAAUAUAUCGGAACGUACCCUAGAGUGGGGGAUAACGUAGCGAAAGUUACGCUAAUACCGCAUACGAUCUAAGGAUGAAAGUGGGGGAUCGCAAGACUCAUGCUCGUGGAGCGGCCGAUAUCUGAUUAGCUAGUUGGUAGGGUAAAAGCCUACCAAGGCAUCGAUCAGUAGCUGGUCUGAGAGGACGACCAGCCACACUGGAACUGAGACACGGUCCAGACUCCUACGGGAGGCAGCAGUGGGGAAUUUUGGACAAUGGGGGCAACCCUGAUCCAGCCAUGCCGCGUGAGUGAAGAAGGCCUUCGGGUUGUAAAGCUCUUUCGGUAGGAACGAAACGGUUACGGCUAAUACCUGUGACUAAUGACGGUACUUACAGAAGAAGCACCGGCUAACUACGUGCCAGCAGCCGCGGUAAUACGUAGGGUGCAAGCGUUAAUCGGAAUUACUGGGCGUAAAGCGUGCGCAGGCGGGCUUUUAAGCCAGACGUGAAAUCCCCGGGCUUAACCUGGGAAUGGCGUUUGGGACUGGGAGUCUGGAGUACGGCAGAGGAGACUGGAAUUCCUGGUGUAGCAGUGAAAUGCGUAGAUUCAGGAGGAACACCGAUGGCGAAGGCAGGUCUCUGGGCUGAUACUGACGCUCAGGCACGAAAGCGUGGGGAGCAAACCAGGAUUAGAUACCCUGGUAGUCCACGCCCUAAAACGAUGUCAACUAGGUGUGGGGAAGCGAUUUCUCAGUACCGA